rnacentral:lncRNA from 1 species
CUCUGGGGUGUGCCUGAGCCCACCCCACAACAGUAAGUGGGGCAGAGCAGGGGUCACCAAGAGAGCAGGGCCCACGCAGCUCCUAGACUCAACCUGCUCACUGGGGUCAAGGACAGGUCUUGGGGGCCUCGGGGGUCACUUUUCACUUCCCAGGAGCCCAGGCCUGCCCCUCUGGCCCCAGAGCUGACCCCCCUCAGUCCCCCGUGCCAGCAGCAGCUGGGGUGGCGGGUAGACACCUGGCGGGUAGCAGCCUGGGUAGGGGUGGGAGCUGCACCAUCUGCGUCUGUCCAUCCAUCCCUCGUCUGUGUGCUGGGCACAGCCGCGCCCCAGCCUCAGUGCUGGGGACACACAGGCGCCGGGCCAGCACUGCCAGGCUAGGAGGGUGGGCGGUGAACAGCUAGGAAAGAUACGGUCUACUUGUUUUCCCUGUGAGAACAGGGGGUCACUGGGGACUCGCACGCAAGGGGUACCCGAGGAAGAGCCUUCCAGGCAGAGAGAAGGAACCGCGAGUGCUGAGAGCAGGGUGGGGUGGGCAGGAGGGGCCUGCGCCAGGACUGCAGGGGCAGAGCAGGCUGGGGGCCUUCGGGAGGGGUGGCCGGGUGGAGGGUGUUGCCGGCCUCGACAGGGGCAGGAGGUUCGUCACAGCGAGGACAGAGCCCGGCCCGGUGGGAGCCGGAGAGCAGCAGGCCUGAAUGACCCAGGGUUUCCUAAUAGCAGGGCCCCUUCCUUGUGUGGGUCCCCUCACUUUGCCUCUCUGCUGGGACAUCCUUCCCUGAAAGGGAGAGGAGGACCACAUGCUGCCCCUUCCCCAGACACAGUCCAGACAGGCCCAGGCCACAGCCCUGGGCAGACGCAAAACUCCCAGGGGCCUGGACUGGGAUAGGGAGGAGGCAGCAGGGAGGGACUGACCUAUGUCCACACACCACAAGGGACUCCCAGAGGCGGGUGGGGCGGAGCUGGGAGCAGGGGCCUUAGCCCUCAGACCAGCCCACUCACCCUGGGGAGUUCCUGCCCCACAGCCUGCCCAGCUUACAGGCCUGGGGGCAGGGGCAGGCCAGCACAGGCCGGAGGGACAGAGGGAGCCACAUCUGAGGGGUCCCCCAGCUGCUCACACCGUCUGAGGCUGUGCUUGCCAACAACUCUGCUCCCAGGAAAUAUUUUGCAAAUCAGGAAAUGACACCGGGCAAGGCCUCUGCUCUCCGGGGCUACGGCCUCCCACAGGCACGUUCCUACAUCCCUCUGUGAACCGCCCACAGGCCCCCCCACAGGUGUUCCUCUGUGAGCUGGUCGGGCGGCCGGGGCCGGGGCCGGGCUUCGCUGCUCCGUGCCUUCCACCUCCCUGGCGGUGCGGGGCCUCAGGGUGGGCCUGGGAAGCUGGAAACACCUUUGGAAACAGCCGCCUGAGGCAGCUGUGGACAGAAGACCCUGCCCAGCAGCCAAGGGAGCUGGCCUCUCCGCUCAGCCUCCCCACCCCCACCAGGCCCAGCUGUUGUUUUCACGGCUCCGGGACCAGGCGGAUCCUCAGCCAAGAGCUUCCCAGGAGAGCCCUCAUCUUCAACCCCUAGUGGCGACCAGAGCCAGCCCGGGCAGGAGGGGAAGGAAGGCGGCCGCGGCCCCGGGGAAGCCAUCCUGGCAGCUUGGCCACUGGCCCGGCUCCUGUCUGACCAGGAAAGGCAUCAAAGCCGGACUCGGAUGGAGGCUGGAAAACCCCGAGACUUCUGCUGGACUCGACCCAGCCACACACCAGGCUGUGCUCAAGGCCACGGAAUGAGCCUUGACCCUGGCCCCAGACGGAGCCCAGACCUUGCUGGUCACAGGCUGAGCCCUGCUGGCAAUAUGAUGUACUAGAUCCCUUAAAAGGCCUUCCAGCAACAACCAACUUCUGGAUGAAUUACUAUGAGCGUACAUUUUUAAUAGACUGUUGUGUUUCCAAGAAAGUAAAUAUCUCCGAGUCUCCCCCAAAAUUAAACAGCAAAAAUAAAUAAGGCCAGGUGGGGUGGCUCAUGCCUGUAAUCCCAACACUUUAGGAGGCUGAGGCGAGAGGAUUGCUUGUGCCUAGGAGUUCGAGACCAGCCUGGGCAACAUGAUGAGACCCCGUCUCUACAAAAAAAUUUAAAAUUAGCUGGGUGUGGUGGUGCACUCUAGUCACAGCUACUUGGGAGGCUGAGGCAGGAGGAUCACUUGAGCCUGGGAGGGCGAGGCUGCAGAGAGCUAGGAGCUCACCACUGCACUCAGACUGGGCGGCAGAGCAAGACUCUGUCUCUAAGUAAACAAACAGACAGAGUAGUGUGGAGGCCUGGAUGAUGAAGGGAAGUGGUUGGGAAAGCAGAUAACUCCCUGGACACACACAGGGACAGAGAGCCAGCCUGCGGCCAGGGAACAAGUAUGUUUCUCUGCCUAGGGGCUGCUUAAACCAGGGGUCUCAAGGGUCACUGAGGGGGCCGAGGGUGGUCUCGCCUGGAAAAGGGGAAUAGUCUCUGGAGGGAAGCAUCCCCAAGUUGGACCUCAGAAUUGUCUCCGAUAACAGCUGACAAUUAAACAACCAAACGUUCAGAGAAACACCAUGCUACUGAUGAGAAUCGGCAGAAACACCAGUCACAGAUUUAGACCCCCAAAGACUAGGACACUGGAAUUAUUUAGUACAGAAUAUAAAAUAACUAUAUAUGAAAUAUGUUUAAGAAGUGGAAACUGUAAUCUAAAAAGCAAGCAUGUAUCAAGAGACCAUAAAAAAAAUCAGACAAAUCUAAAACACAAUCAGAUGUAACUUUUAGAUAUGCUAACCUUUUUUUUUUUUUGAGAUGGAGUUUCACUUUGUCACCCAGGCUGGAGUGCAGUGGCACCCUCUCAGCUCACUCCAACCUCUGCCUCCAGUGUUCAAAUGAUUCUUGUGCCUCAGCCUCCUGAGUAGCUGGGACUACAGGUGUGCACCACCAUGGCCAGCUAAUUUUUUUUGUUGUUUUUUUGUUUGUUUUUAAGAUGGAGUCUUGCUCUUGUUGUCCAGGCUGGAGUGCAAUGGCAUGAUUUCGGCUCACUGCAAUCUCUGCCUCCUGGGUUCAAGCGAUCCUCCUGCCUCAGCCUCCCAAGUAGCUGAGGUUAUAGGUGCCCACCACCACGCCCAGCUAAUUUUUUUUUUUUUUUUUUUUGAGACGGAGCCUCGCUCUUUCGCCCAAGCUAGAGUGCAGUGGCGUGAUCUUGGCUCACUGCAAGCUUUGCCUCCCAGGUUCACGCCAUUCUCCUGCCUCAGCCUCCCGAGUAGCUGGUACUACAGGUGCCCGCCACCAAGCCCAGCUAAUUUCUGUAUUUUUUAGUAGAGACGGGGUUUCACCGUGUUAGCCAGGAUGAUCUGGAUCUCCUGAGCUGGUGAUCCGCCCUCCUCGGCUUCCCAAAGUGCUGGGAUUACAGGCGUGAGCCACCGUGCCUGGCCUGGAUAUGUUAACAUAAUAAUUUAAGAUAAAAUGAAUGAGUUAAUCAGCAGAUUAGACGGAAGGGAGUAAUUUGAUGAGGGGGUAAAAGAAAAUGGUGAGGAUAUGGAGAAGGAAUUCGUGGUGAAACUGGACACAAUUGUUGAGGGAUUUCCAGAGCUGAUGAACGUUGUGGACCUGUGGCUUACACCAAACAGGGUGGGUGUGAGCUCGGCACAGCUAGGACGCGCUGGUGAGACCAAGGAACACCAAAGUCAGUGAGGAGAUCUUAGUGUCUCCCGGAGAGAGCCGACCGAGGCUGGCGCAUGUCUGAAUGCGAGCCUGGCCAUAGGCUGAGCCCGGCUGCCGCCACCCCUGGGCUUCUGGAACCCUGGGCUUGGCCGAGCGUGGGUGUCUCCCCUGGGAGCCCCAGAGCCCUGGACGAUGGAGGCCGGGACCUGGGCAGGCGCGGGAGGCCUUGGGCUGGGGCCUGCGCCCCUCCUCUGAGGGCUGCCUGCCGGGCUCUGCCCUGCCCUGCCCUUCC